rnacentral:misc_RNA from 1 species
GGAAGGAUCAUUAUUGAAUAAACUUGAACAGGCUGUUGCUAGCUUCUUGCAUGUGCACGCUUGUCAUUUUUAUAUCUCCUCAUGUGCACAUAUUGUAGACCUGGAGUUUUUAUUAUUCGUAUUAGAUUGGGGACUGCUGUGCCUUUUAACAAAGGAUCAGCUUUGCCUUAUUUUUUCAGGUCUAUGCUAUUUCACAAAAUAUGGAAUAUGUUUAGAAUGUUGUAGAUUAGGUCUUUUGUACCUAUAAAUCAAAUAUACAACUUUCAGCAACGGAUCUCUUGGCUCUCGCAUCGAUGAAGAACGCAGCGAAAUGCGAUAAGUAAUGUGAAUUGCAGAAUUCAGUGAAUCAUCGAAUCUUUGAACGCAUCUUGCGCUCCUUGGUAUUCUGAGGAGCAUGCCUGUUUGAGUGUCAUUAAAUUCUCAACUACACUUUGUGUAGCUUGGAUAUGGGGGGUUUUGUAGGCUUUUUUCUAGUCUGCUCCUCUGAAAUGCAUUAGUGGUGUCUGAGCAGAAAUUACUACAGGUGUGAUAAAUUAUCUAUGCCUUGGUUUUGUACUGCGUGCUGCUUCUAAACAAAGUUGCCUUUGACCUCAAAUCAGGUAGGAUUACCCGCUGAACUUAAGCAUAUCAAUAAGCGGAGGAAAAGAAACUAACAAGGAUUCCCUUAGUAACUGCGAGUGAAGCGGGAAGAGCUCAAAUUUGAAAUCUGGCGGUUUUUAACUGUCCGAGUUGUAAUCUAGAGAAGUGUUACCUGUGCUGGACCAUGUUCAAGUCUCCUGGAAUGGAGCAUCAUAGAGGGUGAGAAUCCCGUCUUUGACAUGGACUACUAGUGCAUUGUGGUAUGCUCUCAAAGAGUCGAGUUGUUUGGGAAUGCAGCUCAAAAUGGGUGGUAAAUGCCAUCUAAAGCUAAAUAUUGGCGAGAGACCGAUAGCGAACAAGUACCGUGAGGGAAAGAUGAAAAGAACUUUGGAAAGAGAGUUAAACAGUACGUGAAAUUGCUGAAAGGGAAACGCUUCAAGUCAGUCACGUUGGCUAGAAAUCAGUCUUGCUUUUGCAUGGUGUAUUUUCUGGUUGAUGGGUCAGCAUCAAUUUUGACCAUUGGAUAAAGUCUUUGGGAAUGUAGCAUCUUUGGAUGUGUUAUAGCCUAUUGUCGCAUACAGUGGUUGGGAUUGAGGAACUCAGCACGCCACAAGGCCGGGUUUCGACCACGUUCGUGCUUAGGAUGCUGGCAUAAUGGCUUUAAUCGACCCGUCUUGAAACACGGACCAAGGAGUCUAACAUGCCUGCAAGUGUUUGGGUGGAAAACCCAUGCACGUAAUGAAAGUGAAAGUUGAGAUCCCUUUCAAGGGAGCAUUGACGCCCGGACCAGACCUUUUGUGACGGAUCCGCGGUAGAGCAUGUAUGUUGGGACCCGAAAGAUGGUGAACUAUGCCUGAAUAGGGUGAAGCCAGAGGAAACUCUGGUGGAGGCUCGUAGCGAUUCUGACGUGCAAAUCGAUCGUCAAAUUUGGGUAUAGGGGCGAAAGACUAAUCGAACCAUCUAGUAGCUGGUUCCUGC